CACAUCCAAUAUGGCGCCGAAGGCUAUCCGGAAAGCAAGUCCGUCCAAACACGGUGGUUUUGGUGCAGUAAAAGAUUUUGUAGCCGACUUUUACAAAAAUCCUAUGAAAUGGCAGCUGAUAAAACACACUGCAAUAUUCAUUCUGGCUGUGGCAGCUGCAAGAGAAUUUUCAGACAUUGAUCUUAUGGCACCUCCUCCACCUCCUUCAUAGAGCCUUGGGUCACAAUUGCUUCCUAUCUGAUGGAUGGCAUUUUUUACCAAUGCAGCAAGACUUACGUGUGUCAGUGAUCAACCAGAUUUCUUUCCUGUAAAUGUUCAGAGUUCAAUGCUGUAACUCAUCUAUUAAAAAAUGCCGGUUUUGA